CCCUGAGCCACCGUGUCGCGCCUCCUUGCGUCCUCCAGAUCCGCGCUCUCAGGGCUUACUGCGGGGCCCCCGCUUUUCGGGGCUCCCCUCGGCCAGCGCCGGAGGUGGCUGGCGCGUCCCCAGGUCCGCGCCUGGCAGCCUGACGGGACUGCUGGGGAUGACCGCCAUAGCGCCACGUGGUCACUUGUUUGACAAAGGAAACUUUUUUCUCCUUUCGAAGUGCGGCAUUUCUGGUCCGAGCCACCGGCCGCCCUACGCCUAUUGUAUUCCCUUUCCCUGCCGAGCAAUCUUUUUCGCUUUCUUUGAGCUGUCCCAAACCUGGGUCAGGGUCCUGGCGCGGUGAGCUGAUGGAAGGGGGUUGGGGGUUCAGGGCAGCGAGGGCGCCGAAGGUACGAGCUGGGGAGACUGGACUGGUGUCGGGAAUGGCGAAAGAAAAUCGGUUUCUGUGCCUCCUAAAGAGAGGAGUAAAAUGAAGUGCCGGUUAGCUCACAGCGCCUUUCCCUAAAAGGGAACUGCCGGCAGGCAUCUGGGGCCGGCGGGCUGGUGCGCCUGCACUUCGUUUUGCUUUUGCAGGUGAAGACGUUUUCCCCGAGCCGGCCGCGGGGCCUUUGCUCUCUCUUGGAAUCUCAGAAAUCACGCGAACUCUAGGCGGCUUGAUGUUUGCAAACCAACUGAAGAGCGGCAGAAAGUGUUCAUAGGCAGGUCAGCCGGGCCAUUUUGAAGUGUGUCCCAGAGCACAACGAUUAAAAUUAUGCAGAGCCCUCAUCUGCUUUACUUUCUGGCUGAUUUGACUGUAACAGGUCUCAGAUAAAGAUACUGAGCCAUCAAAGGAAAAAAAUGCACCUGAGAUCAUCCCCCAUCGCCCCUCAUGUGAUGGAACGGAGAGUCACAAAACAGAGCACCUCGUGAAGGAAAGAUUUACCAGCCAGGACACGGAAGCUCAGAGGCUGCCCACCGGCACGUGCAGAGCAGGAACCCGACAUGCUGCUGUUUCCCCCGUGCCCAUUCACCCUGCAGCCAAUGUCCCCCCACUCACAGGACCCGCCUCCCAUGGGCAGUCUAGCCCUGGCCUGGGCCACAGUGCCUGCUUUUUCUCAAGUGUCCUUUGGAUGCCACUUGAGUCUCUCCUUGCUUGUUCAUCCAGGAGAACAGGCGAAUGGUCCCGGAGACAUGAAAACAGACUUCACGGUCUUGGAGGAGACCACAGGACAGUCUCCAAACUCCCACCCAAAGAAUAAGCCAGCUUUGCAGGGUCACACAGCACCAGGGGGCUCUUCAACAUCCCCUGCAGGUCCACUAGUCUCCACCCUGGCCCGCUCGCACCGGGAGUCCACUGCAUCGCUCUCCUCCCCCGGCCGUGCCAGCCUGCCACCUCCAUCACGGUGCUGCCGACCCCUCUCAUCCUUGUAGCCUGAGCUCCAUACGUGAAGUGUUUGCCUCCUGACAUUCAAAGCUAAGCUUCUGAAACUCAGAAAAACAAAACUCCCGCUUUCUCCUACAUACACAUGGAGCCUGGCACAUAUAAGUCAGAAACAUCUUGGAUGUCAACUUUCCUGCUUUUUCUGUGUUGAGAAAGACGAAUGGCCCUUCAUGCUGCUGGGUGCUUUUGCAUCUUCUCCUCCAUGGGGGCCAAUGUUCCCCAGCCGGAAGACUGUGUCUCCCCCAGUGGAGGAGGUCAUGGCCUGCGAAGAGAAAGCAUGUCUCAUAGAGGCAGAGGGUGUGAGAGGUGGAAAAAGGCAGCCCGCAUCCCGGUACUAUCACCACUGUCGGUGCAGUGUGACGUGGACAAAUUUCCACAUAUAUAAAGCACUUCAGAGAAUGCCUGGCACAGAUUAAGCUCUCAAAGCUAUUAGGAUCUCAGAAUUAAAUUCCAUCACCAGAGCAGAGUGGGAUAUGGCUGGAUGGCACGCGUUCAUAAGGAACGUUGUGUGCAGAGACCUCCGCUCUUGAGGACCAGAGAGGAAGUUCUGGGAGCUGCCAGAUUUCAGAGAAGAUAUGAAUGGGCUGUGAAGGGUAGAGGAAGAAGCAGGAAGAGCUUGGGACCACGGGGGGAAGGGUGGGAGGGAAGGGAGGG